GCGCAUGUGGCGAAGCGGCUUAACGCGAUAGGUUGCAACCCUAUUAUUUCACAGGUUCGAAUCCUGUCUUGCGCUCCA
rnacentral:tRNA from 1 species